CAAAGUACCCCUCAUAAUUUUGGUUUCCCCCUAAGUCCGCAUUUCCACCUUCAUUUUCGGACGUGCAUUUGGGUGUGCAUUCUCUCUCUACCCUGCACUGCACAUAGUAGUUGACCAGACAGGAGUCCAAGACUCACUGCUUUACCGACGAAAAUAAGGUCUUUAUCGGACACAGAUCCAUGUUUUUGGUGGAGGCGACGGAGUCGGACGAAGUCAGGAUCUUGGAAACACAGUUUCUGUGAAAGGUUGAGCGGGAUGUUGCGGUGGAUGUUGAGUCGGCAUAGGGA